UAUGAAUAUGCAACUUCACAGUAUAGAAGAAUCAGUAAAGUGAAUGUAUUUAGUAUGGUACCCAGGGCUUCUCUGGGUAACUUGGGUCAAGGUGACUCCAAGUGGGAAAGUCACGAUUUACAUUUUGUAAGAUGAAGUGGGAUGUAUGGCAGUAAUGAACUCAGAGAUUCCAUACCAGCAGCUUCAGUGUCCAUGUUUAUUUCCCAUAAGAAGUAGCAACACCAUGAGAUGUGCUGGGAGCAAAGACUGAAGCAAUGAAAGCCCUCUGGGGCCAUGUUUUCUUCUCCUGUGGGAGAGUUUCUUGGCCUUGGGUUCUCUGGUGUCUCUCCCUUUGGCCAUCUGACCUGAAAGUGGGACAACCUGUUUGAGUGCUUUUCUUCUUUCUGUAGUAGUUGUUGGCACCAACCCAUUUUGGAGGGCCGGUCUAUGCACUUGGACCUCAUUUUGAAUAACCAUCCUCUCUCCUUUGCCUAACUCAGUUGUUCUCAACCCUGGACUGCACAUCAGACCCGCCUGUGGAGCUUUUGCAAGUCAUGCUCCUCUCCCUUCUCCAUCUCCUCAGACCAAAUAAAUGAUAAUCUCUGGGAAAUAGGAUCUAGGCAUGGUGGGAUUUUGUUAAAAGCUCCAGAUAUGAUACUAAUAUGAAUCCAGGAUAAAGAACCACCGAGCUUAUUUAUUUCCAGCCUUCAGUUAUCACAGGAAACAUCUCUUCAUACCUUUUCCUUCCCUGUAUUUACAUGUGUUUUCUCUAGCCAGCCUCAAUUUGGAUUUUACUGAGAAGAAUCAGAACAACAAUAUAGGUGAACAAUAUACAGAUUUACUACAUAAAGCUAAUUGCGGCCUGGGGUAUGGCCCAAGAUUCUGAAUUUCUAACAAGAUGCUGCAAGAUGUGGAUACUGCUGGUCCAGUUACCACCUUUGAGUAGCAAAGUAAUGAAUGCUUCUUCACUGCUAGAGCCCUGGCAGGACUGAAGGUCAUUUUUUUACCCACACAUCAUCUCUAUUUACCGUAGAUCGCUGUUCUUGUGGAAUCAUAGACUUAGAAUGCCAGAGGUGAAAGAGAAUCUCCGAAGUAAGAUUCAAAGUUGCAGAUUAUGGCAUAUUGAUUUCACUAGUGGACCUAAUUCUUCAACCUUGUGCAUUCAGACCCUUUGCCAUGGAAUUUUGUUGGGCUCUUUCACUGUGACUCUCUAUCAGCCGUGUGACCUACUUUAUCCAAGGGGAUGUUAGCAGAUAGGACAAAGGACAGCCUUGGAGAGUGCUUGUGCAUUUGAGUGUGCCCUCGCUUGUUUCUCUGUGUUCACCAGUUUACCUCCUAAAGACAUAUGGCACCAUCACCGCGCUGCUUCAGCUAACCCUCGGCAGACCACCAAACACAUGCAUGAGCCCGGUGAACAUGGGAAGAACUGCUCUGCCCAACCCCACCCAAAUUGUUAUCUUGUAAACUCAUAAGCUAAAUAAAUACUUAUUGUUUUAAAUCAA